CAUGGCGUUCUUAGUUGGUGGAGUGAUCUGUCUGGUUAAGUUCCGAUAACGAACGAGACCUCAACCUGCUAAAUAGUUAUCGGGAUGGUUUCGCAUGGGUGAAGCGUUGGGGACGGGAAGGUUGGGGCCGGUCGGGAAACCGGUCGGUUCUGGCCUUUCGCUCGGCGUGGAUCCCGAACGCAUCCCGAUGCGGUGGAGGCGGCGCGGUGCAAGCCGUGCCGUCGACCCAUCGUGCGUCGCUCGCGAUCGUAACUUCUUAGAGGGACUGUUUGGGUUAUACCAAACGGAAGUUUGAGGCAAUAACAGGUCUGUGAUGCCCUUAGAUGUCCUGGGCCGCACGCGCGCUACACUGACGGACUCAGCGAGUUACGUUCCCCUUCAAAAAAGGGAACGCACCUUGGCCGGAAGGUCUGGGUAAUCUUGCCAAACUCCGUCGUGAUGGGGAUAGAUCUUUGCAACUGUGGAUCUUGAACGAGGAAUUCCUAGUAAGCGCAGGUCAUCAGCCUGCGUUGAUUACGUCCCUGCCCUUUGUACACACCGCCCC
rnacentral:rRNA from 1 species